rnacentral:RNase_P_RNA from 1 species
CGGUGAGGGCGUCCCGAUCGCGGUGGCACUUGGUUUCAUGAGACCAGGUGUCACCGAGGAAAGUCCGGGCUCCGCAGGGCAGGGUGCCAGGUAACUCCUGGGCGCGUAAGGCGACGGCAAGUGCAACAGAAAGCAGACCGCCAGGCGGUAUCAUCCGUUAUCAACGCGCGCAGCUGAUGAUCCAUCGGCCAAGAGCGUUUGAGUGACGAUGAUAUCGCCCUGGUAAGGGUGAAACGGUGCGGUAAGAGCGCACCAGUGCUCCUGGAGACAGGGGCAGCUAGGUAAACCCCACCCGGUGCAAGGUCCGAUAGGGAGAGAGAGCUUGCCCGGCUCGUUACAAUCUCCGGGUUGACCGCUCGAGGCGUCUGGCGACAGGCGUCCCAGAUAGAUGAUUGGGUCAAAGACAGAACCCGGCUUAUGCGCCCUCCCGCCGG